UACGGGGGGGGCAAGCGUUGUUCGGAAUUACUGGGCGUAAAGGGCUCGUAGGCGGCCAACUAAGUCGGACGUGAAAUCCCUCGGCUUAACCGGGGAACUGCUUCCGAUACUGGAUGGCUUGAGUGUGGGAGAGGGAUGCGGAAUUCCAGGUGUAGCGGUGAAAUGCGUAGAUAUCUGGAGGAACACCGGUGGCGAAGGCGGCAUCCUGGACCAUUACUGACGCUGAGUGAGCGAAAGCCAGGGGAGCAAACAGG
rnacentral:rRNA from 1 species